CCAUCACUUCAGCAGUCAUUCAGAGGCACUGGGACUUUGGCUACUGUGUCACGCUCAUCUCUCACCACAAUUCUGCACAUGUAGCAUCCCCUCUAGGCCAUGGUUAUCCAGUUAGGAUCUAAGAGGCAUGCUGGAUGAUGAUAUCUUUCACCUUAGACACCUGAGGAUAAGUGUCGCCUUGCCAGGUUAGGUGAGCAUCAGGAUCAUGGGCACCACGGUCAUCACCCUUGAAGAUGUGCAGGCACUGGAGGUCAAAGAAGAGCAGGAGGAGUCCAUAUUGGCCAUGCUGGGGAUUGUUGGCACAUUCCUGAACCUGUUUGUGAUCGUUUUUGUUUACAUUUACACUACACUGUGAAGUGAGAAACCAGGAGAAAGAGGUCUCCAUAAGAGCAGUACUGAGCUGCCAUCACAUCACAGACUUGAAGGACCAAGAGACAGAUGGGACAAAGAAUUCUGAUAUGAACAUCUUUACCAAGAGAAGAGCAGAUUGGUGAAGGAUGAAGAAGCCUAUUGUCAAGUCACAGCUAUAAACUGGGGAGAUAACAGAGGAUGACACAGUCCAAUAGAAUGACGGCAUCUGGAGAUAUGAGAGCCAGACCCCAGUCAGGGCUGCCUUCCAUUCUGCCUGAUGAGAAAUACAACUUCCACCUUGACCUAAUUUUUGUGGACUGGACUCAGCCAGAAGAUGAUCGAAAGAGUCCUCCAGAACAAACCUUUUCAUUUAUUUCUGCUUUUUUCUUUUUAAUUGUUGGGACUGUAAUCACUAGAUUCUUGGCUAUACUUUUUAGCAACAUAAUUAAGAGCAAAAUUUGUAAAAGGACUUUGCUGGAAAGCAACACAAGGAAAUGUUGCCACACUGCAAAUCCGAUCUGUGGUCAAAGGCCAGCAAGUUCAGAAAAAUACUUCCAAAUCGAGGGUCAGGACCAAAUGUGCUUGCAAGCUCAUGUGUCUGCUGUCACGAAAACACAUGCAACACAAACACUUUAAUCAAUAACACCACCUAAAAGA